GUGAGGAAUAUUGCGCAAUGGAGGCAACUCUGACGCAGCCAUGCCGCGUGCAGGAAGAAGGCGCUACGCGUUGUAAACUGCUUUUAACCGGGAAGAAACCUCAGGACGUGUCCUGGGUUGACGGUACCGGAGGAAUAAGCACCGGCUAACUUCGUGCCAGCAGCCGCGGUAAUACGAAGGGUGCAAGCGUUAUCCGGAUUCAUUGGGUUUAAAGGGUGCGUAGGCGGAGCGUUAAGUCAGUGGUGAAAUCCUGCAGCUUAACUGUAGACUUGCCAUUGAUACUGGCGCUCUUGAGUGCGCUUGAAGUGGGCGGAAUGUGCCGUGUAGCGGUGAAAUGCUUAGAUAUGGCACAGAACACCAAUUGCGAAGGCAGCUCACUAAGGCGAUACUGACGCUGAGGCACGAAAGCGUGGGGAUCGAACAGGAUUAGAAACCCGGGUAGUCC
rnacentral:rRNA from 1 species